ACUGCGGCGCCCGCUCGCCCUCCGCCGCCCCUGCGGCCAUCUGCCCGCUCCCCGGGUCCCCCGCGCCCCUGCGACGCCCCUCCCGACUCUACCGCGCAACCUACCGCCGCCAGCCUCCUCCCGAAAUUGCUGCAGAGACCCCUCCUUCUCCCAUCACACCCCUAAACACCGCUCCCAAUGGCUGCUCCCAGACAAUACUGUGCCCCCCUCCACCCCUGCCGCCCCCCACCCGUCCCAGUGGCUCAGCCAGCCCCCUCUCCCCAGUUCAACCUAGAGAGAACUUAGUUGUAUGAGGGGUCACCUCGGAAAGUCAGGCCCCGAGGAGGGACUGCGGCUGAGCCUGGUGACCCAAGCAUGGACGAAGGAAGGGGCUGCCCUUCCACCUCCAUCUCGGCCACGCACGCCCUCCCUGAUUCACUUGACACCGGGUGACCGCUGCCCUCCAGUCGCUAGGACAAGGGGAGUCAGACGGGCGCCUGUGGACCGCAGCUGGGGUAGCAGUUGGCUGUGGGUUGCUAGGCAAAAAUAAACAUCAGAGACACCUCCCAUUUCCUUACAACUUCAAGCCUUUCCCCAGCGUCGCCACUGGGAGAGACACCGCACACCUUCCUUUCAGCUCUCGGCUGCAAGGGUAGGGCACCUCUGCCUCCUCUCAUCCUCCGAGGUUUAAAAGGAUAGCGACACGUGGAGUAAUUUUCUCAGCAGAAUGCGUGGCAGCAGUGAGCCGCAGCAGGCAUGAGCUCUCAAGGCACUCUCCCUGCUGAGACCAUCCACACGUUGCAAUGGACAGCGUUUUCCAGAGAACCAGAAUCCACGGGACAUUUGUUAAGCCACAUCAAAUGAGAUUCCUUGUGGAGGAUUUACUCUUGUGAUCAAGAAACUAAGGAGCCUGGUGACUUGCUGUCUGCCCGUGAGGUGGGGGAUGCUUGUACAGUUCCAGUGAGAUAAAAGAGGCCUGAGAACUAGCCGGCAGAAGGGAGGCUGAUAGUGCCAUUCCUUGUCCUGGGUCAGAGACCUAUAAACCAGAAGAACCAAUGUGUGAAAUCCAGAGAUGGCAGAUGUCAUGACUCAAGUAGAAAGAAAAAAAACAUCUUUCUCUGCACUUUUUUUUUCUGACUCUUUUCCUUAGAAGGAAGACUGGUGCCCAUGGCCCAUGCACACUGGUGAGAGGCACUUUUCCUCAGUCUGCUGACCCUAGAAAAACACCCUCGCUAACAAACACAUGAUGUUUUACUGACGAGCCAGGCAUCCCUUGGCUCAGUCAGGUAAAUUAAGAUUAACACUGUAAAUUCAUCCCUUGUCAACUUGGCACCCAGGUUUAUGCACUUAAUUAUGUUUCAUCUCCAGAUAAAGACCAAAACAAGAUCGGAGUGUUAUCUACCAUCAUACUUGACUUCACAUAACCAAAAAUUCAUUAAUCCAUUCCCCAGGAAAGACAGGGAAAUCCUAGAGCCUGUUGAUUCUACCCUGAGAAUCAAGAACAAAAACAGUCUGGUCACAAAUAAGCAAGCAAGCAAACAAACAAACACCUACUCUGUUUCUAAAUGAGCAAUAUUCAAAUGUUUAUAUAAGGUCAAGGCAUCUGAAGUCACACAACAAGGGGCCAUGAGGAAAAAGGAAACAAAGUUAUUUGUUAUGAAUCUAUACUCACAAACAUACUCAAAAUAAAAUAAGGAGGAAGUAUGUGUGACAAUUAUAGCCCUUGUUUUUGUAGUUGGUUACAUGGUAAUUAGCUGGCAUUUAUAGUGAUCUUUUACUACACAUUCUGCAUUCUCUUUGCCUUCAUGAGAACUCCAGCUGGACUUCAUUGUUUACCUGGUGACUGUGACCAUAUCUUCAUUUCUGAAGGGUCUGGGCCACUUGUAGGUCUAUCUGCAUUGGACUGCAGUUUUCUAAUGGUCUCACAGUGGAGGGUGCUAGGAAGAGGUCUCAGAAGGUGUUACCUGUAUUCCAGACAGAAAUCCACUGUGGGAUUCUAGUCAGGUCAGGUCAGUCACCACAGUAAGCAUCAUAAUUCCCUUCUUGGCCUAUUGACUCAAGGGAAUGAAGAGUUCCAAGAGGCUGGGUGACAGCCACCCCACCAAUUCAGUGGGAUCACUGAUGUGCUUCCUAUGGGGAGCAGUAUCUGCUCCAGGAAUGGAGACCUUUGGUCUAACAGAGUGUAAAUAGGAAUAUGAAAAAAAUAUGAAUAUUUUUGCUAGUCAGUUAAUGGGGGUAAAAGGUAGUCACAUUGUCAUCGCCCAGCCUUAAUCCCUGACCUGUGAGUCCUGGCUAUCAGAGAUACUGCAGCGUGCCGUGGAUACUGAUCCAGAACAUAGUCUAGAGAAGCUUACCCCAGCCCAGGAAGAUAUUAGAAACUCACUGGGUCUGAGUCUUUCCCAUUCUGUUGGGUUAGUUGCUCUAUUGGGUAAGACCAGUGAAUUCCAUGAGCAUGAGUCCUUUGCCAUGAAACAAGUUCCAGAGGUAACGUGACUUGGAAUGCUAUGCUACUGCAUUAGGCAUUCUGUCAGUCUACUGUGAACAGAUUUUUCAAAAGCAUUACCAGUGAAGAAAUACAUUUCUAUGUAGCCUAUAUACAGCAUGGACAGGAGGGGAGGGAGAAGGGCAAGGGUAAGCAUUGUAGGGACCAGGCUACUUUACACAAUUCUCUUGCAUCUUUAAGAGUUGCUCAGCCCUGAUAACACACACAAUGUGAUAAUGGACUAUUGCUCUACAUCAAAUUUUAAGGUUGGAUGGCUUGGAUAAUACGAAAUUCCUCGUAGGCAGUUUAAGCAACACAUUAACCUAGUAGCCUGUGGUCAUGAACAGACUCUACUAAAGGUCCAUAGCAGAAAGAAAACUAUUUCUCAAAUGCCCCGUAGCAGGAUGAAAACUAUUUCUCAAAAGAGUAGUUAUCUAUGGGUGAUGACAAGCACCUUGCUUUAAAAUCCUAAAGACCUCAACUGAAUCGCCUAUAGAGAUUUUCCAGGAGUUCCAAACAGUGUCCUUCUCUGCCACUGACACUUCAAAUACCACUAAUUUGGUAACCACCAAAUGGCAAAGGAGCUUACCCAGCAGUCAGGACCUAUUGCAGAGCCUUCUUGUAUUUGGGGCUCCAAUCAAACCAGUAGUAAAUGAGCCCAAACGACCCACCCCAAUGAGGAAUACAUUGCUUCAAAAUUUUAAACAUGUCUGCUUGGCAUUGUAUGUAUGUCCAGGUGUAGGGGAAACCAUAUACAACAGAUUAACCAUCUCCUUAGAAGAGAUCUGUCCAAGCCCCAUGCCACUGGGCCCCGAGACAUUUCACUCAAGGAAAAGGUUGCUAUAUUUUAAUUGUCACUGGGGCUAAGGGAACCACUUACACUGGUAGAGAAGAUUCAUCAGAAUUGAGAGUUUCAGUGUCCCCAAUUCUAUCAAGUGCCUUCCCGAAGACUACCUUCCCUAAUCAUUGGCCAUUUGAUGGUAGAUAGCCUGUAAGGCUGGGAGCUUAAUUUCUCUCGUACUUCAUCUGGUUGUCCAAUGAGGUUCUGCAUUCGAUUUUCAGAAACUUCAUCCUUUCAGCUACAGAAGGUAAGGAAUUCAUAGGGGCACACACAGAAUCUUAGGUCAUUCAUGGGUCACAAGAGUGGGAAUUUGAAUCCUGGACAUUAUUAUAUUUGUUUGGUGUUUCCCCCACACAACUUUGAAUAGCAAUUGCCAUUAAAUUUCUUGAUUUUUCCAAGACAUGAUUGAAAGCAUCAUACUCGGAACCACCUAACCUCUUGCCCCUGUAAAAGACUGGUGAGGAGUAGCCAGUACAAAUAUUUUGUCUUUCUCUGAACAGUCAUGCCAAUGAGCAUGCGUGUUCUCUUCACUACUGGAGAGGGUCAUGGGAGUCUUCGAUUUGAAUAAAAUGGAAGUCAGUUCUAGAAACCACAAAACAAACACAGAAAACUCCUCCUUAAAAUUAUGUCCUUCUACUGUGCCCAAAUCUGUAUUAGUUACUAUUUAUUUAUCCAUAGUCUCCAGAACAAAAGAUUAGAUACACAGAUUGACAGACAGAUAGAAGAUAGGUAAAUAGAUAGAUAG